rnacentral:snRNA from 1 species
AGAAACAGGAUGAUGGAGAAU